rnacentral:rRNA from 1 species
UACGGGGGGGGCAAGCGUUGUUCGGAAUUACUGGGCGUAAAGGGCUCGUAGGCGGCCAACUAAGUCAGACGUGAAAUCCCUCGGCUUAACUGGGGAACUGCGUCUGAUACUGGUUGGCUUGAGUGCAGGAGAGGAACGCGGAAUUCCAGGUGUAGCGGUGAAAUGCGUAGAUAUCUGGAGGAACACCGGUGGCGAAGGCGGCGUUCUGGACUGCAACUGACACUGAGGAACGAAAGCCAGGGGAGCAAACGGG